GAUCGCGUAGCUCAGUCGGCAGAGCAGCCGCCUUUUAAGCGGCAGGUCCUGGGUUCGAGUCCCAGCGCGAUCA
rnacentral:tRNA from 1 species